AUAAUAUAAAUAAAUAUUUACGAAAUGAACUUACAUGAAAAUAGUUUUAUAACCAUUAAGCUAGUUAAGUAAAGGAGAAAUACAUUUUUAUAGGUUUUAUUAUCUGUGGAUUUUACAAUGAUUCACAGUUUGUUUAUCAUCAACCAUUCAGGGGAUAUAUUUCUGGAAAAACAUUGGAGAAGUGUUUUGGGACGCUCUGUUUGUGAUUAUUUCUUCGAAGCUCAAGGAAAGGCUACUUCUCCAGAAGACAUUCCUCCUGUAAUUGCAACAGGAUUCAGUUAUCUCAUCAGUAUAUUUCGCCAUGAUCUCUUCUUUGUUUCUGUUGUUGAAAAUGAAGUUCCACCUUUAUUUGUGAUUGAAUUUCUUCAUCGAGUGGUUGACUUGAUCAAAGAAUAUUUCUCUGACUGUACUGAAACAAUCAUUAAAGAAAAUUGUGUCAUUGUAUAUGAGUUAUUGGAAGAGAUGUUGGAUAAUGGAUUCCCUCUUGCUACAGAGUCAAAUGUCCUUAAAGAGUUGAUAAGACCUCCUAGUAUAGUUAGAAAUGUUGUUAAUAAAGUGACUGGAGACAGCAAUAUGAGCAGUCAUCUCCCAACUGGUCAAUUGUCCAAUGUUCCAUGGAGGAGAACUGGUGUAAAAUAUGCAAAUAAUGAGAUUUAUUUUGAUGUAGCCGAAAGCAUUGAUGCCAUCAUUGAUAAACAGGGCUCCACCAUAUUUUCAGAAAUACAAGGAACUAUUGACUGCAACUGUAAAUUAUCUGGCAUGCCUGAUCUCAACAUGUGUUUUACAAAUCCUCGUAUCCUUGAAGAUGUCAGUUUUCAUCCUUGUCUUCGCUUCAGAAGAUGGAAGUCUGAACGAAUUUUGUCAUUCGUCCCCCCGGAUGGUCAUUUUCGUUUAAUAUCAUAUAACGUGGCAACCGGAGUAAAUAUGCUACCAUUGUUUGCGAAGCCUCGUGUCUUGUUUCAAGAGGGUGGAAGUGGAAGAUUUGAAUUGUCGAUAAGUUCAAAACCAGUAAUGGGUAAAAAUAUCGAGAAUGUUGUCGUGACUGUUCCAUUUCCUAAACAAGUUCACAACCUUAACUUGACUACAAACGUUGGUACCUAUUCAUUUGAUCCAAUCAAAAAAGAGCUUUCAUGGGAGAUCGGUAAAAUACAAUCACAGACACCGUCACCUAACAUCAAAGGAAAUGGAGAUAUCUUUAAAAAGCGAUGUUCCACCUUCGUAAGAAACACCAACUAAAUUCAACUACAAGCUAUUAAAGGAGUCAAGACACAACAGCUUGACGUGUUACAUGGAUGCUUGAAGCAUAUGGAGUUGUUCCUCCGAACAAGAAGUUGGCAUUCCACUAUUCAACGUGGCUUCAAUUCUCUCCGUUUUUCUGGUGUUACUUGGGUACUUAGAGCGUAUGGAUUUGCUAAACGGAAUUUGAUUGGUAGUCUUGACGGUCAUUAUGGAUUUACCUGCAAACAUUGGCUCAUAGAUCCUGCCAAUAGAGAUUUUAUCUCGUUUGAGAGGAAGAGAGUUUUAGAGAAAAGUCGCAUUAAAAAAAGCCAAUCAUGACGUCAACUUCCAUAAACUUCUAGACAAAAGUAAGAAUAUUAAAGCUGACGUUCACGAGGCUCUACAAAGUUGCUCGUGGCUUAGUGGGAAGUAUGGAAUAGCUCGCCCAAACGAGAAGAUGCCGUUUCCUCAUUUGUAUGUCACAGUUGAUUUUAAGAAAGAAAAUUCGGAGGCUGCUAUCAAAAAUGAGAUCUAUGAAAAGUUAAAAUGGAAAGCAUCGAAAUACAUCGAAUUACGAUCUAAACCAUUUAAAGAAGCAAAGUUUCGAAUGCUGUCUAAAAUUAUAGCGCAAAGAACCGAGGGUAGUUUUGGAACAAUGACAAUGUUCUGCCUUAAGAAUGAUAUGUACUAUGCCUUGACCUGUGCUCAUGCGGGUGUUGUUAAUAAUUUGGAUGACUGUCAACAAGACUUUUGUGGCGGAGUCCAAUUUAUGGAAAUCCAAGAAUCUUUAAAUGCCACAGUUAACGAAGAAAGCAUGGAAUACUUUUACAAUGGACAACCGAUUGUCCGUGUUCCGGAUCAAACGAGAGUGGUGUCUAAUGAAGAAGUCGAUAUUAUGUACAUUGUCAUUGGUAGGGAGGAAGAUUUUCAGGAGCUUGCUGUAAAUAAUCAGAUGACUCUCAAUUUAGAUUUGGAUAUGCAGUGCCAUACAGGCCCUCACCACCUGCAUUGCAUGUGAAACAUCCAACUCCAAUGUUCUCAAAAGACAUCUGAAUCGCCUACACAUCAAUCCAAAUGCAUUUUCGACAAUUCUUCGUGCUCGUGAAAGUCUAUAGUUAAAAACUUUCUCAUCACCUAUUGCAGUCUGGUGUGGAUAUGGUUGCAUUAGAUUUUCAUUCAAAGCAAAUGCCUCAUCUCCAAGCAGAAAGUAAGGUAUAGGCAAUAAUGUAUCUCUUAGUUCUUCAGCUUGUGGGAAAUAGCAUGUCUUGCAUAUGUUUUUAAGGUGACUGUCUUUAAAAAUUCCUCCAUCUGACUGGUUGCCAUGGGCUCCAAGAUCAAAUGAGAUGAAUUUAGCAUUUGCAUCUGCAAGAGGACUAUGCUAAAAUGUUUUUUAUAGUUAAAGUACUCAGAGGCUGAGUUUGGAGGUGCCUCAAGUUGAUAUGUUUACCAUCAAUGUUGCCAACUGCAUGGGGAAAGUGCCAUUUGCAUAUAAAUUCAUCAGCAAUGUGUAACCAUUGUUGCUUUGUUGUGGGUGGCUUUAAAUAUUCUUCCUUCAGCACAUUAUACAAAACUUCACAGACCUCAGGUACAAUUUUUGAAAUAGAUGAAACUGAUAUUCUGAAACUGUACAUCAAAUCUUUGUAUGAGCAUCCUGAUGCUAAGAACUUUAAUGUUACACACAAGCGAUCAAGAACAGAUAUAGCAUCUCUCAUAGUGGUGUUUUUCUUUGCUAUGAAUGGUGUUAACUUUUCACAUAGCUCAUCAAACAAAAUGGAAUCCAUCCUUAAAAGUAGUAAAGAUUAUAAUUUGUAAAUAAAAGUAAAGAAAAUAAGAAAAUUUCAUUAUUAAAAAAA